UACGUAGGGUGCGAGCGUUAAUCGGAAUUACUGGGCGUAAAGCGUGCGCAGGCGGUUUUUUAAGCAAGGUGUGAAAUCCCCGGGCUUAACCUGGGAACUGCAUUUGUGACUGCAAGACUAGAGUGUGGCAGAGGGGGGUAGAAUUCCACGUGUAGCAGUGAAAUGCGUAGAUAUGUGGAGGAAUACCGAUGGCGAAGGCAGGUCCCUGGGCUGACACUGACGCUCAUGCACGAAAGCGUGGGGAGCAAACAGG
rnacentral:rRNA from 1 species